ensembl:misc_RNA
AGGACUCUGCCUUGCCCUGAAAUCUUUUGUUUGUUUAAAGAGAAGAUGUAGUGUUGGGCAACAGUAGUGCAAGCUUCCCCUGGUGUCCCCCAGCACUCACCUGGAGGGAGCAGCUUAACGAGACGAGUGAGGUGGUUCAGCUCUACUGCCUUUUCCAUUCUUCAGCCUUU